CGAACCCGACCCGAAGUACAAAAACACCCGAACGGAUUCUACACCUCUAUACCGAAAUACCCGAAAAUCCGAAAUACCCGACCCGAACCCGAACGGAUAUCCGAACGCCCACCCCGAAAGGUUAUUGGCUAAAAUUUAUUGUUGAUGUUUAAAUAAGUGAUAAAAUGUUUAACUACCACGUAAUAUAGACAACAGUUAAGUGUAGAUGUGUAUUUCCUUCAGAUGAUGCUCACAUUAAGAUAAUUUAAGAAAUAGAUAAUUUGAAUUGUUAACAAUUACUCUUCUUCUCUUACCAAUAUGGUUGAAACUCACAUAUAUAAAUAAUUCGGAACGUAGCAUGGACCAACUCCUAGUCUUAAUAAAAUAUUUAGGGGGUAUUAGUGAAAAUAAGAUUUAUAUUGAGUUUGUUAAUUUGAAAGAUCAGAGAUUUUUAAAAUUUGAAAACAAUUGUAAAGAGUUUUGUAUAUUGUGAAAGUCUAUGAAAAUAAAUUGAUAUAAUGAUUCUAAGGAUCUUAGGUAUAUAAGUAGUAUUCUCAAAAUCUUGUGUUAUGAGUUAAAUGAUGGAGAAUACAACUGGCAAUAACACCUACUUUAAUAGAUUUAAAAAAAUCAUUAAAAUUUAAAAAUUUUAAAUUAGAAAAAAUUGUGUAUAGAAUUACUAAAUCAUCAAACCAAUAACACUAGGUUUUAAUGAAAAUGUAUAAACCAAUAAUAUUAGAUUGUAGAAAUUCUAACAAUCUCAUAAAUCAAACUUCCACUAACACCCCCCCCUUAAACUCAAUCGCUGAAUAACAGUAGUUUGUAAAUCAUAUAGAAUUAAAUUUAAAUUUGUUAUUGAAUAACACCUUUUUUUUGUUCACCUUUUGAAUAAGAAGUCUAAGAUAAUAUUCCAUAAACUACUUCAAUAUUUUCUAAAACUUCACCAUAAAUCUCAGCAAAUAUAAUAGUAUAAAAUGUUGCAAAUCUUCUUCAGAUAUUUCAAAUCAUAAAAGUUUAAUUGGUGACCACUUAUUGAAUGGAAUAAAUAGAAAAAAAUGUUGAACAAAAAUUCAUUUGAAGAAAUGAAUUGAAAAAAAAAUUUUGAAAAGAGAGGAACAGACUCUCCACAUCAAAAUUAGACAAGAAAAAUAUUUUUUCAUUAGUUCAAUUAUAUAUGAGGAAAAGUGAGGAAUAAAAUGGGGCCCACAUGUUACUAGUUUGCAAAAAAAAAAUUCAACUUAACUGGUAUUAAUUCUAAAGAAUAGCAAAUUCAUCAUAUUUGUUUCAUAAAACAUGGUCACUAAUUGCAGCUAAAAUCUUACAUAUUUAGUAAAAAAAAUCUUCUGAAACUUCACCAUAAAUCUCAGAAAAUAGUAUAAAUCUUACAUAAUUAGUAAAGAAUCUUGCAACUUCUUCAGAUAUUCCAAAUCAUAAAAUUUUCUCAAAUAUAAAACCCGAUAAACUACUUUAAAUGCUUAGUCUAAUAUAUCUCCAAGGUUGCUACAUGUCAAUGUUUGCUAAUAAUAUAGAUUUAUGGUAAGUCAAUACAUAAAAGAUUAUAGCUAUAAUAUUUUAUGUAUAUCCGCAAUCAAAACUUCAAUAUUUUAUGGUCAAAUCAUAUAAUAUAAUUUGAUCACCUAAAUUGUACUAUAAAAACAAAUGAGGUGUAGUCUUCAAACUCACAACUGAAAAAAAAACAAAAAAAUAUUUACUUAGGAAAAUGAAAACUGUUUCUUUUAAACUUUUGCUUUUGCUUUUGAUAUCUACCCUUCUCGUCACCGUUAGAGGAUAUGUCAAAUGUGAAACAACCGAUGAAUGCAUGGACGCAUGUAGAUGCGAAGAUGCAUUUUGUGACCUUCAUAGGUGCUACUUUGGGAAAAAAGCUAGGAAUAAAAUUAAUGUUAAUUCUUCAAGAAACAAUUAUCUUGCAGAAAAUAAAAGACGUGGUGGUGGUAGUGGAGGACCUCCACCUACCAAUUAAAAUGAUAAAAGUGUCUUUAUAUGUGUAACAAUAAAACUUAUUUGCUGAAUAAAAAUACAAAUUCGUUAAAGAACUUUGAUUUAUUAAUAUGUUGAUCCUCAUAGGUUAAUGAACUUUUAAUUAUAAACCAAGAUCUAUCUUCUCGUGUAAAGGUUUAUCUACUGUCAUAGCUACUAAUACUCGAGCUGUCCAAUCUAACACAACAUUCAAUGGAGAUUCUUCGAUGAUCCUAUGACAUUUUCUGUAAUAUAUCCGCCAUUAGACCGUUUCAAUUUUUAACAAAUGUGUUCCAUCACAAAUAUAUUUGUAACAUAAAUACUUACCAAACACAUGAAUACCAAUUUCUCCAUAUCUCUUUUCUCUAUUCUUCAUUCUGAUUAACAUUUCUCAAGUGACUCAAUAACGAACAGAAGAAGUUAUGCUGUCAAUCUCUAUUGAGAACAUUCAAUUCAAUCACAUGGAGAAUUCCAAAAAUACUGAAUCAGCAGACAGGGUUGUCAAACUCCCUACUCAUAAAACUCAACAAACCAAACCAUAACUAGUCAAAGGUAACCCAUCAAUUGAAUCUCCAAGGAAGGUUCCAUGAUCUACAUCAGCUAAUACCAAAUAAACUCUUUCAGAUUUUGUAUAUGUCUCCACUAAUGCAGAAUCACAAUUGCUUGAAGGUAGUGCAAAGCGAUAAGGUUUUUCCUUUUUAAUUAGCAUUAGCAAGUACGUUUAAAGUUAUUCUGAAGGUGAAGAAUCAAACUCAGAAGCUUCUGAUUCUGAGCUAGAACAAGAAUCCGAGAAGGUGGAUUUGAUGACACACCUCUAGGAAAAAAAAAUUCUCAGAGAGCGACCACUCAAAGCUUCUGCAAAAGCAAAUGAAAUGUUUCUACAAAAUAUAGGUCAGGGGAGCAUGGUGGACAAGGCUGUGAUAACUCAGGUGGCUAUGGAGAUCGUGGCCGUAGAAACCGAGGAGUCAUGGUUAAGUUCUCUUAGAGAAUCUCCAAUAAUACACAAAACUUUACUCCAUAUGUCUCUCUUCUUAAGCUAUCCAGCUCAUCGUAUAGCAUAGGGCAUUUUGUGACACGUCAGCAUACAAAUCGACCAAUAAAAAAAAGUUAUUUCGACACGUCAGAUAACCAAACCUCUCGCUGUAUUUCUUCCUCAACCUUCGUAGCUUACUGAGAAAUUGAAAAGUCAAGAGCCUUAAAUUUCUGCUCCACUCACUCAAUAACUUUGCAUUUAUAAGAUCCGAAACACAAAUCUGGAAUCACUGUUCGGCUUCUCCUCCUCUCCCACUUUUUAUAUCAUCAUCUAAAUCCGCUCUAACCUAAAGCCACAGUGUCAUCUAGAGAUUCCAAAUCAAGCAUCCUCAUCUCUGCACGAGUCACAACUAUAGCCGCCUCACUAUGGUUUCAACUGAAGUCUUUUUUUUUUUUUUUUUUUUUUUUGAUUAACCUGGGAUAUCCCAGGCCCAUGGAGAGGCCCAGACUAAUCCCCAAGGGGAGGUGCAGCCCACGGAUAGACACUCUCUCCGGGUAUUCAAAUGGACCCUAAAGCAUGGGCCCAUAUCCGGUGUUGGGUGACCAGGAUAAUUGUGAUUUAGUUUCGCGCAGCAGGUAGAUCGAACCUGAAACAUGUUGCUGUCUCAGCCCCGUCUCCUUACCACUCGACCACAAUCACCCGGUCACUGAAGUCUCUUUUGGAAUGACCUCUAUGGAUCUUGGUAAAAAUUAAUUCCUCCGAUGAUGUUUACGGUCACGAUUUUUUAUGAUUCAUGCGUCUGAUGCUUUUUUAGUGUGGAUUUUGAGUCAAAACUUUUGACCCAACCUAAAUAGGCUUAUUAUCAUGUUUUUUUUUGUGAUAUGUUAUCUGUUUGUAUCAUAAUUAUUUGAAAAUUGAAUUUACUGCACUAUGAUUGCUUGAGGAAAGGUAGAGCUCUCAACCCACUACUAUUCCGUUUUCAAUUUUUUAUUUUUUAGGAACAAAAUCUUUUCUAAUUUUCAUUUGACUAAACCAUUGAGGAUCAGCAGAAGAAGGACGGGUCGAGAACGAAGUUGAAAAUAAACGUGAAGCUUAAUCAUCAAGUUAACUAAGAAAGAAUGAUGUUAUUAAGCUUCAGAUCAAGGUCGAUGAGAAGACAUGUCAAAUCGUUCCAUGCUCUCUUCAAGACCUUUGGUUGUGGGCCUGUGGCUCCGUAUCAUGUGUUCAUCUGUAGGCAUGUUCAUCCUCUUAAUUUUAAUGGUUAUGGUGACUAUUUUAUGAUCCAGUCGUAAAUUUAGAAACUUUGUAUUUGCCCAAAAAAGUAAAUAUUUUUUGUAAUAUUUAUAUUAUCCGGUGAUAUGUCUUAUGUUAUCUUCACUCAUGAUCAAUGAUUUUAAUGGCAUCUCCCCUGAUAUUUGUGAUCAUCUUUAGAAAGUUCACAAAACAUGUUCUUCCACAAUCCAAUCGACAAACCAAAAGCCUCUGCCAAGACCUCUGAAAUCAAAUCAUAAUAUCAAAAUAUCUACAGGAAGCAGUCCAUGAUGAUCCAGGGAUCAAUUAGCGUCCACUGGUUGAACACUUUCUAACCCCCCUCAGAUAAGGAGGUAUUUAUGAGCUGAGUUCAUUUGAUGUGACAAAGAGCAAUCAGUAUUUCAAGCUGACUACUGCACCCGUCUCAGUUAGGUUCACUUAGCACACUACCUUGAUAGAGAUCACAGAAACCAUUAAUCCUAUACCGGCAGAGGUCUUCCUGUUCUGGAGCUUUGAUCAAGUGUUGUUACUGGCUAACACAAACAUCCUCUUACCAGGUCUUUUUCUCAACUUUGCCUCCAUAGUAUAUGGAUUACGAUUGUUUUGUUUGAGAUUGGAAAUGUUAUAACUCCUUACUCUUUGAUAUAAGAUAUUGGUGGGGAAGUUAUGGGCAUCAAAACCACCCACAACGGUAAAACACACUAUGGCAAAUAUGCGACUUGAACAAUAUGUUUGAAUCAUUACUAAAUUUAAAGAAUUUAUUUUACACAGUGGCUGUUAUCGUAGUUAUAUGAACUUGCACCUCUAUUUUACUGUCCAGGUCAGUUCAACAACUUACAUGUUCAUCCUCCUUACAUGAUGACAUAUAUUCAAUGAUCCCAGCGCUGAUAUGCCGGGAGCUGCAUCUGUAAUAACAAAUCCCUCGCAUGGUGUGUACAUUGGUGUUUCUAUGACCAGCAGAAGGCUUGAUAGUCAUGGGAUGGUUGAAGAAAACAGAAUCGGGACAGCUCUACCAGGUGCUCGAGCUAUUGUUCCCGAAAUGACUGCGGAGUGCGGAGAAGCCAACAGUUCUGGAACAUGGGCUCUUUGUAAAGAAGGCAUGCAUUGAGUAAAAUCUUAAGUAAGGGAGUCUAUGACCCUCCUGUCGACUCCUACAAACUAUGCUGGAGCUUUUUUAAAUUUUGCAUAUUAAUGAAAUAUGACUUAAGAAUCAUUCCCACCGUCAUGUUAUAUCUCAUCAAGUAAGCUCUGUUUUUACAUGUAUAUAUAUAUAAAUAAAAACCACCUUAUGAACUCGGUGGAGGCACUGACUUGAAUGUUCAAUGUAGUCGCAUAUUUUAAGCACCACUUUACAACAAUUAAGUCAUUGACUCACUUUGUUCAAAAAAAAAAAAGUCAUUAACUCCCUUAAAAAAAGGGUUCAUAUCAUGUAUCACACACUUAACUCAAUCUUCACCGUCGUAAAUUAUCAUUGCAUGUUACUAUAUUUGUAGAGCAUAUAUCGGCUGUAGUACACGUUUUUUUUUUGAACUUUACUGUAGUAAAAGUUUCUUUAACGAAAAACCUUUUGUAGCAUGUGCACCACUUGCAAUAAGCUAACGAACAUUCACACGAUCAAGAAAGCAAGUUAUCUAUUCUACUAAAAUCUCAACUUUCACUGCUCACUCAGUCAAAUUAACAAUUGUGGUGCAACCUAUUCAAGCAUAAACAAAACUUAAACAACGCGAACAGUUGGGAACUUUCCAAAAAACGCAGUCGAACACUUUUAAACGUUUCGGAUUAAUAAAAUAGCUUACAUCCCAUUACAUCAAUACACAGGCACAUCCCAAUAAUAAUCUCAUUUGCCUCCUAAGCACCAAUCACAAUCACCAAAAGCUUCUCCUACAACAAAGUUUACAGCUAACACGUAAUAGGCAAAUGACCUCCUAAAUUGUUUGACUUAUUAUUUUCAAACCAAAUUUCAUUUUGUGGUAUGGACAAUAAUCAUCUACAAUCACCGGAAAGAAUUAUAACACACAUCAUAAUCAAACAAACAUGAUAAUACUAUAAAUAAGAUACAAUAAAUAUCGUACCAACUUUACAUAAAAAACACAUGAAAUCCAAAUCAAUAG